rnacentral:rRNA from 1 species
AUUGAACGCUGGCGGCAGGCUUAACACAUGCAAGUCGAGCGAGCGGCGGACGGGUGAGUAAUGUCUAGGAAACUGCCUGAUGGAGGGGGAUAACUAAUGGAAAAGGUAGCUAAUACCGCAUACCAUCAGAUGUGCCCAGAUGGGAUUAGCUUGUAGGUGGGGUAAUGGCUCACCUAGGCGGCGAUCCCUAGCUGUUCUGAGAGGCUGAACAGCCAGACUGGACCUGAGACCCGGUCAAGACUCUUACGGGAGGCAGCAGUGGGGAAUAUUGGACAAGGGGGACAAGCCUGAGGCAGAAAUGCGGAGUGUUUGAAGAAGGCUUUGGGGUGUUAAAGUACGUUCAGCGAGGCGGCGUUACUGGCAGAAGAAGCACCGGCUAACUCCGUGCCAGCAGCCGCGGUAAUAC